CUUGCUUCUUAAUUUCCCAUCUCUCCGCAUAAGUAAAAUUAGUUGCAUUGCAGGUUCAGAGUUGGAGCUCGACAUUCUCUCUGGAUCCGUCCCUCAAAACCAAAAAGAAAAACAGAGCAAACCAUAUAGUAACCGCACCCCUUUCUCCCUUAUCUGAUCGUAAAUAAUGGCUGAGAAUGGAAAUGAGAACGUUAUUCGGUAUGAAGAAGGAAUGUCGUGUCUUCUUCCCGCAAAUGCUUUUGACCAGCAACAAUCAUGCUUGCAAGAGAAGUUGAGAUAUCAAAAGCACCACCAAUCCGAGCGGCACUACUCAAAAUCACCAGCAGCGGAUAAUUCGCAUUGGAAGUCCGGCCAGCUGGGAAACCAAAGAACCAGAAAUGGGGGGUCGUCGAACACGAAAUGGGCAAUUGGUGGUCCUGGAAUGCAAGCCCUGUUCUUGGAUUCUGGGCAACGAUCCUGCGGAACAGGAGUGUUUCUCCCUCGAAGAGCAGGAACCCACUUUCCAUCAUCCAAUAGGCCAGGUGGUUGAUCAUUCGCACCAGCUAUCACUCCACCAUGCAAUAAUUCUUGUUUCUAUCCUGCCCUCCUGUUCUCCUUCCGUCCCGCGUCGUUCAGGUCCUCAACCUUAAUGUCCACGAACUUGGCUUCCAGUCCAGGCCCCAACAACAAGAGCGUACUGGCAAGCAAUCCAAUGCUGGUGGUAAGAAAGAGAACAUUAAUGCAGCAGCCGGAGUGGGAAGCGGAGGCGGCCAGUGUUGUUCGCCGGAGAUUUUUCUCCCGAAGGAAUGGACUUACUAGCUUGGCUGGCUUUAUACCUCGUACAGAACACUGACCAGAACCUGCAACUCGUUUCAGAUUGAUUGCUGCUGACCACGUGCCUUGCGGUGAAUUAAAAUAUAGUUUAAAUAAUACCAGCAGCAGCCAAAAGAAAUAAAUUAUUUAGAAAUGCUGAAUUGCAUAGGUUUUCAUUCUUUUUGCACGAAAGAAGUAGAUGGUACAUAAAUUAUUUAGUUCUUGAUUUUUAUUUUUUUUGAGGAAAGAUUAGUUAUUGACUCAAUUCACAAUAGUCUGUAAUUAAUUUACCGUUAUGAAUUCCAUUCGAUCGAUUGUAUCCGUUUUCGGAAUAAGGUUGAUGUAUGUUACAGAUGCGCCCGAACAAGAGACGAACUCCUCUGCCAUUCAAGACUUCUAGCAAUAAAGUCCAUCACCGUGCAUGGAUCAUUGGAUGGACUCGACUCACCUGGGCCUGGGGGUAUGAUGCAUGAGAGCAAUGAUACUGUCGUUGCCCAUGCCCAUUUGAGUAUUGUAUGAUUUUUUUUCCCCAUAUUUGUUUUCUUUUUAUUUCAUUUUCUUUCUCUUCACCCUCUACCUUUACAAUACUCUUGCACAAUCUGGAGAAUAGA